CCAUAUUCCGAGAACACUGAAUUCCUAUACUAGAUUUAUUGACUCACGCCAAUAUGCAUUGAAUUCCUGCAGUACAUUGACUCCCGCCAACAUACAUUAAAUCCAUAUUCUAAGUAUAUUGACUCACGCCAACAAAAAUUACAUCACAAUUUUGAAACAAUAAAAAAAAGGUGUGAGAAAUUUGGGGAAACAUUGAUGGUAAGUAAAAGGACACAUAUAACACUCGUCUUAAUAUGAUGGAUCUAGGCACCAAUCAUAAUUUGCACCCCGUAUAAGUUGAUGGUCAAAUACGGAUGCACCGGACUUAUGACACAUUAUAUUUGAAACAUAAUAGGGGUCUAUGCGAAUUCGUAAAUUCAGUGAACACUAAACCCCAAAACCAAAGUUUUUACGCACAUAUACCUUUGUUGUAGAACUCGUAUGAAUUACAAGUUAUAGUCCAAACAAAGUAACUCAUGCGCACAAUCCACACGCACAGAAGAUAAUUUUUAGUCGAUAAAGACACCCAUUUGUAUUUGGGACUAGUGUUAUGAAUGUGAAUUAUUACAUAAUUCAUAUAUAGAAGUAGGGAUUUUGACAAUCAGAAGGACAAAUCUUGUCCGUUUGAUUACUAGAGCAAUUUUGAACAACCAGAAUGGAUAAGAUUUAGAUGUCUGCAAAUCAGCAAGGUCCUCCAAAGCUUGCAAAGUACAAAGCUGCAUUUGUACGAAACAAUUUCGAAAAAUCAAACUGUACCACAUUGACAUUGUAGUACAUUUAAAUCCAAUAUAUAAUAAAUAAACGUGUAUCUGGUCAAACAAGAAGAUUUGUACUAGAAAGAUACAUGCAGUACAAUGAAGUGAAAAUAGUACACAACUAAAUUCUAACUUGUGCUAUAUAUUACCAUACUACGGCAAGGAAGUUGUACAGAGAUAAGCCAAAGCGGUAGAGGGGCUCCACAGGAGUGACCUGAGAUCACACGUAGCGUUUGUGUAUUGCGCUUGAUGUGUUCUCAGGUCGCCCCUGCGGUAUCUUCUCUACCAUAUCAUUGCACUGCUGUAGAUUUGAAUGGACAUUGAUAACGGCCCCGAGGUGCUACAUUGAAAGGUCUCAUCGCACUACAUUGUUUCUGUUCCCACUUCUCUUCUCUUCCUAGUAAUCCAGGAACCUUUUCGGCGACAUUAUUGACAUCCAGCCAGAAAACCCAACAGCUCGAGGCAACAUUCCAAGCAGACGCCGGUACCAUGAUUUGUGAACAGAGAGGAGAGGGGUUCAACCUCUGCCCUGGCAACCAGGAUAAGAACAUUUGGAUACUUCUAAGUUUUGAGCACUUGCGAAAUCCAUCAGACGCUCAAUUUUGGUGAAGCAGAAGACUCUGUAUAUCCAGCUUUACACGACGUUGAAUUCAUGCUAGGAACUGAGAGUAUCAAAUGCAUAAUUUAACACAAAUUAAAAGCAGGUGUGUGCACUCUGAAAUUAGACUCCGAAACUAAGUACACACCAUCCACCUAGAACUGCAUCUGGCUAGCUGCCAUGAACAAUGAACAUGUUUACGGGCUCCUCUCCACGACCGUAAGCUGUUGUAUAGUAUUUUAUACUAAAAACAGGACGCUUACACAGAAAUUUUGUAUGCUCAACGUCGAUUAUUCAUCUAACCUAAUUCAGCAGCUUAUGCUCCAGAACCACACGUAAGCACACGCUUUUCCAACCUAAGGGAAACAUAGUAUUUUGUACAUUCCUGUUUAGUAGCUACCAAAUGUAAUACAAAGGUUGAAGUAUGUAAUUUGAUGACAGGAAGAAAGAGGAAACAUGUAUCAGCA